rnacentral:rRNA from 1 species
UUAAGUUAUUAAGGGCGCACGGUGGAUGCCUUGGCACUAGAAGCCGAUGAAGGACGUUACUAACGACGAUAUGCUUUGGGGAGCUGUAAGUAAGCUUUGAUCCAGAGAUUUCCGAAUGGGGAAACCCAGCAUGAGUUAUGUCAUGUUAUCGAUAUGUGAAUACAUAGCAUAUCAGAAGGCACACCCGGAGAACUGAAACAUCUUAGUACCCGGAGGAAGAGAAAGAAAAUUCGAUUCCCUUAGUAGCGGCGAGCGAAACGGGAAGAGCCCAAACCAACAAGCUUGCUUGUUGGGGUUGUAGGACACUCUAUACGGAGUUACAAAGGACGACAUUAGACGAAUCAUCUGGAAAGAUGAAUCAAAGAAGGUAAUAAUCCUGUAGUCGAAAAUGUUGUCUCUCUUGAGUGGAUCCUGAGUACGACGGAGCACGUGAAAUUCCGUCGGAAUCUGGGAGGACCAUCUCCUAAGGCUAAAUACUCUCUAGUGACCGAUAGUGAACCAGUACCGUGAGGGAAAGGUGAAAAGCACCCCGGAAGGGGAGUGAAAUAGAACCUGAAACCGUGUGCUUACAAGUAGUCAGAGCCCGUUAAUGGGUGAUGGCGUGCCUUUUGUAGAAUGAACCGGCGAGUUACGAUUUGAUGCAAGGUUAAGCAGUAAAUGUGGAGCCGUAGCGAAAGCGAGUCUGAAUAGGGCGUUUAGUAUUUGGUCGUAGACCCGAAACCAGGUGAUCUACCCUUGGUCAGGUUGAAGUUCAGGUAACACUGAAUGGAGGACCGAACCGACUUACGUUGAAAAGUGAGCGGAUGAACUGAGGGUAGCGGAGAAAUUCCAAUCGAACCUGGAGAUAGCUGGUUCUCUCCGAAAUAGCUUUAGGGCUAGCCUCAAGUGAUGAUUAUUGGAGGUAGAGCACUGUUUGGACGAGGGGCCCCUCUCGGGUUACCGAAUUCAGACAAACUCCGAAUGCCAAUUAAUUUAACUUGGGAGUCAGAACAUGGGUGAUAAGGUCCGUGUUCGAAAGGGAAACAGCCCAGACCACCAGCUAAGGUCCCAAAAUAUAUGUUAAGUGGAAAAGGAUGUGGCGUUGCCCAGACAACUAGGAUGUUGGCUUAGAAGCAGCCAUCAUUUAAAGAGUGCGUAAUAGCUCACUAGUCGAGUGACACUGCGCCGAAAAUGUACCGGGGCUAAACAUAUUACCGAAGCUGUGGAUUGUCCUUUGGACAAUGGUAGGAGAGCGUUCUAAGGGCGUUGAAGCAUGAUCGUAAGGACAUGUGGAGCGCUUAGAAGUGAGAAUGCCGGUGUGAGUAGCGAAAGACGGGUGAGAAUCCCGUCCACCGAUUGACUAAGGUUUCCAGAGGAAGGCUCGUCCGCUCUGGGUUAGUCGGGUCCUAAGCUGAGGCCGACAGGCGUAGGCGAUGGAUAACAGGUUGAUAUUCCUGUACCACCUAUAAUCGUUUUAAUCGAUGGGGGGACGCAGUAGGAUAGGCGAAGCGUGCGAUUGGAUUGCACGUCUAAGCAGUAAGGCUGAGUAUUAGGCAAAUCCGGUACUCGUUAAGGCUGAGCUGUGAUGGGGAGAAGACAUUGUGUCUUCGAGUCGUUGAUUUCACACUGCCGAGAAAAGCCUCUAGAUAGAAAAUAGGUGCCCGUACCGCAAACCGACACAGGUAGUCAAGAUGAGAAUUCUAAGGUGAGCGAGCGAACUCUCGUUAAGGAACUCGGCAAAAUGACCCCGUAACUUCGGGAGAAGGGGUGCUCUUUAGGGUUAACGCCCAGAAGAGCCGCAGUGAAUAGGCCCAAGCGACUGUUUAUCAAAAACACAGGUCUCUGCUAAACCGUAAGGUGAUGUAUAGGGGCUGACGCCUGCCCGGUGCUGGAAGGUUAAGAGGAGUGGUUAGCUUCUGCGAAGCUACGAAUCGAAGCCCCAGUAAACGGCGGCCGUAACUAUAACGGUCCUAAGGUAGCGAAAUUCCUUGUCGGGUAAGUUCCGACCCGCACGAAAGGCGUAACGAUUUGGGCACUGUCUCAACGAGAGACUCGGUGAAAUCAUAGUACCUGUGAAGAUGCAGGUUACCCGCGACAGGACGGAAAGACCCCGUGGAGCUUUACUGUAGCCUGAUAUUGAAAUUCGGCACAGCUUGUACAGGAUAGGUAGGAGCCUUUGAAACGUGAGCGCUAGCUUACGUGGAGGCGCUGGUGGGAUACUACCCUAGCUGUGUUGGCUUUCUAACCCGCACCACUUAUCGUGGUGGGAGACAGUGUCAGGCGGGCAGUUUGACUGGGGCGGUCGCCUCCUAAAAGGUAACGGAGGCGCUCAAAGGUUCCCUCAGAAUGGUUGGAAAUCAUUCAUAGAGUGUAAAGGCAUAAGGGAGCUUGACUGCGAGACCUACAAGUCGAGCAGGGUCGAAAGACGGACUUAGUGAUCCGGUGGUUCCGCAUGGAAGGGCCAUCGCUCAACGGAUAAAAGCUACCCCGGGGAUAACAGGCUUAUCUCCCCCAAGAGUUCACAUCGACGGGGAGGUUUGGCACCUCGAUGUCGGCUCAUCGCAUCCUGGGGCUGUAGUCGGUCCCAAGGGUUGGGCUGUUCGCCCAUUAAAGCGGUACGCGAGCUGGGUUCAGAACGUCGCGAGACAGUUCGGUCCCUAUCCGUCGUGGGCGUAGGAAAUUUGAGAGGAGCUGUCCUUAGUACGAGAGGACCGGGAUGGACAUACCUCUGGUGUACCAGUUGUCGUGCCAACGGCAUAGCUGGGUAGCUAUGUGUGGACGGGAUAAGUGCUGAAAGCAUCUAAGCAUGAAGCCCCCCUCAAGAUGAGAUUUCCCAACUUCGGUUAUAAGAUCCCUCAAAGAUGAUGAGGUUAAUAGGUUCGAGGUGGAAGCAUGGUGACAUGUGGAGCUGACGAAUACUAAUCGAUCGAAGACUUAAUCAA